GGGGGAGGCGGUGUAAGCGCGCAGAAGCUACUCACCGAGGAAGAUGAGCUGAAACAGCAACCAAGGUAUUUUUUCACACCUAACAGCCAGUAAUGGCAGAGGAAGCCCAGGAUUUCCUGAGCGGGUCCUCAGGAUCCGCAACAUCUUUGGAUAUUGCAUGUUAGAUGUGGGAAGACAAACGACAAAAGGAGAAUGCAGUAUGUUAGUGGAAACCAGGGA